rnacentral:lncRNA from 1 species
GACAGGGAUAGAGACAUGGACAGGGACAGAGACAGGGACAGAGACAGAAACAGAGACUUGAACAGAGACAGAGACAGGGACAUGGACAGAGAACGUGAGUAGGGCAACAGAGACAGAACAGAGCUUGAGUAAAUAUCUCCCCAUCGUGGCGGUGGGAGGUUUGGCCCCCCAACUUCAUGUCUCCUCACAAGCAGUUUUUGGUGGAUUUGAGAACUGUAGCCUACAUCUUUUUUCUAUAAAAUACUAUGCAAUUGGUGAAGGGUGACACUUUACAUUUCAGAUUCCCCGUUGAACAUACUUUUCAUGGGAAACCGGCCCUUAGUGUACUUUCAAUAUCCUGUCAGUAGUCAUCUCUGGUAGAUGUUUGUCAAACAACGAGGGUUAUAAUUCAGCCAGUAGGUUAAUGUGUUCAGUCAUCAGUCAAACAACGAGGGUUAUAAUUCAGCCAGUAGGUUAAUGUGUUCAGUCAUCAGUCAAACAACGAGGGUUAUAAUUCAGCCAGUAGGUUAAUGUGUUCAGUCAUCAGUCUAUGGUGUUCCUGUAUGUGCAGCUACAGCAGGAUGUGGUUAACACCCAGGUCGGCUUCACUCCACACCCCAGUCGGUUACACACAAGCUCCCUAGGUGUCUCGCCUGCUUCCUACUGCCUGUGAAACCAGGAAGUUGUGUUGGUGCUAGGACGACGAGGACCGGGAAUGCUGAUCUUGUUCUCUCUCCGCCCGCUGUGGAUGAGGCUCACUGUGUGUGUGUGUGUGUGUGUGUGUGUGUGUGUGUGUGUGUGUGCCAACAGACUGUAGCUCCAUAGGCGCUGCCUGUCUGCGCUGAGAUCCAUCCUAUUAGAUGAUUUUCCAGACUUUGGGUGGCUGCUGUCUGUUGUCUGCUGUCGGCUGUGUGUGUGUGUGUGUGAUAGAAAGAGAUUGUGUGAAGUGCAAAGCAGGGUACCGCAAGUCGCUCUGGGUGUCGUUGCCAAUGCAUGUUUUCUUGGCUGUCGACCAGUACAUUCUGUUAGACCAGUGCUGUUGGAAGGAGAGCGUUUACAUUGAGAUCAGAUAAUAUGGCGUUCUGAUAAUCGCUCUGGGUUAUCUGGAGGUAAAUAG